CCUACGGGAGGCAGCAGUGAGGAAUAUUGGUCAAUGGGCGCGAGCCUGAACCAGCCAAGUCGCGUGAAGGAUGACGGCCCUACGAGUUGUAAACUUCUUUUAUAAAGGAGUAAAGUGAGGCACGUGUGCCUUUUUGUAUGUACUUUAUGAAUAAGGAUCGGCUAACUCCGUGCCAGCAGCCGCGGGAAUACGGAGGAUACGAGCGUUAUCCGGAUUUAUUGGGUUUAAAGGGAGCGUAGAUGGGUUGUUAAGUUAGUUGUGAAAGUUUGCGGCUCAACCGUGAAAUUGCAAUUGAUACUGGCAGCCUUGAGUACAGUUGAGGUAGGCGGAAUUCGUGGUGUAGCGGUGAAAUGCAUAGAGAUCACGAAGAACUCCGAUUGCGAAGGCAGCUUACUAAACUGCCACUGACGUUGAUGCUCGAAAGUGUGGGUAUCAAACAGGAUUAGAUACCCCGGUAGUC
rnacentral:rRNA from 1 species